GAAACAGAGAGACAGAAAUUAAAUAUUCGAAUUCGAAAUUGUGAAUUCCUCUUCACAUUUGGAACGUUCACUGUCAACCUAUAUACCACCCAGCGAAUAGAAUCAAAAUGAAUGAUUUUAAAGGGGCAUCAAGUGAAAAUGCAGAGGCUUCAUCUAGCGGCUCCAGUAUAUAUAGAGACGCUUUAGCCGUCCUAUCGGACGAAGGCAGUCGGAGCGAGGAGUUUGAGUCGACCACGUCCGUGCCUGAUUCUGCUCAGGAGGAAAACAGGAUGUUAGCAGAGG